ensembl:ncRNA ZC123.11 ncRNA
UUCAUUAUUUCAUACACCUGUUACCACUUAAUUCGCCUAUUAUCCUCCUCAUUACCUUCAUUUUUCGGUCGGCGUUGACGUCGACAUUGGCGCCCGAAAUGAGAGGAAUAGGGGGGGGGGGGGGGGGGUAUAGACGACGGCGACUACGACAACCAUGAUGACGAUCAUUUUCGUUCUAUUCAU